rnacentral:rRNA from 1 species
CCUACGGGUGGCUGCAGUGAGGAAUAUUGGUCAAUGGACGAGAGUCUGAACCAGCCAAGUAGCGUGAAGGAUGACUGCCCUAUGGGUUGUAAACUUCUUUUAUAAAGGAAUAAAACGAGGCACGUGUGCCUUUUUGCAUGUACUUUAUGAAUACGGAUCGGCUAACUCCGUGCCAGCAGCCGCGGUAAUACGGAGGAUCCGAGCGUUAUCCGGAUUUAUUGGGUUUAAAGGGAGCGUAGAUGGGUUGUUAAGUCAGUUGUGAAAGUUUGCGGCUCAACCGUAAAAUUGCAAUUGAUACUGGCAGUCUAGAGUACAGGUGAGGUAGGCGGAAUUCGUGGUGUAGCGGUGAAAUGCUUAGAUAUCACGAAGAACUCCGAUUGCGAAGGCAGCUUACUAAACUGCCACUGACAUUGAUGCUCGAAAGUGUGGGUAGCAAACAGGAUUAGAUACCCCAGUAGUC